ACUGCUUCUGCAGCUAUAAUGGUGCCCAUUGCUCGCAUGGCGAGCCUCUUCCGCUCCUCUCUCCGCUUCUCCACCAUCGCUUCUCAUGAACUUGAGCUUCCUCUUAGUUGGGUCAAGGCCUCUGAGCUUUUACAUAGCGAUUCGCCCUUGGAAGAAAACCUUGGUCAAAGCAACAUCGAACCCACUCCUGAACUUCUCUCUCAUCUUCUCAAUACGUCCCCCAAAGCUGGUCGCAAAGUUCUAGGGUUUUACUCUUACGCUCUGAAACACCCAUCUUCGUUUAUCCCCUCUGAUGAAACUUCAAAGUCUCUCGUUGAUUACUUUGGUCGAAGAAAGGAUUUCAAGGCCAUUAAUCUUCUUUUUUCAGAGACCCCACCUGCUCCUACUGGUCCAAAGACCUUCGCUUCAGUGAUUGAUCGGCUGGUUCGAGCUGGUAGGGCAAAACAAGCGGUGGGUUUCUUUGAAGACAUGGAGAAGUUGGGGUUUUCAAAGGAUAAGGACGCUUUAAUCGUGACAGUUGGUUCUCUGUGUAACCAUGGAUUUGCACGCGAGGCUGAGGAGCUCGUGAAGAGAAUGGCUGAUUCAAUCUUUCCUGAUCAGGCGAUCUGCCAUGCUCUUGUCAAGGGUUGGUGUGUUUCAGAGAAGCUCGAUGAGGCAAAGAGGCUCGUUGGUGAGAUUUACAGAGGUGGGUUUGAGCUUGGUCCCACGGCGUACAAUUCGAUUCUCGAAUGUGUAUGCAAGUUAUGCAGGAAAAGAGACCCUCUUAGGCUAGAGAGCGAGACUGAGAAAGUCUUGUUAGAAAUGGAGACCUCUGGUGUGGCUAGAAACACGGAGACUUUCAAUGUUUUGAUCAAAUCUUACUGCAAAAUAAGGAAGACCCAAGUGGCCAUGAACCUUUUCGAGAGCAUGAGUGAAUGGGGUUGCAGCCCUGAUUCAGAGACUUACACUCUUUUGAUCAGGAGCCUCUAUCAAGCUGCAAGAUUAGGCGAGGGAGAUGAAAUGCUUGAGGAAAUGAAAGCCUCUGGUUUUGGUGUAAACAUUAAGACUUACUAUGGUUUUCUGAAGGUUUUGUGUGGAAUUGAGAGGAUUGAUCAUGCAAUGAAACUUUUUGAAAUGAUGAAGAAAGAUGGAUGUGAACCAGGGAGCAUGACUUUUGAUUUGCUUAUUUGGAAACUCUGUGUUCAUGGCAGGGCUGAACAAGCUGAUAAGCUUUGCAAAGAGGCAGAAGAAAGAGGGGUCACCAUUAAAUCUGCUGUGUAUGAAGUUGAUCCUAGGUUUGUUGAGAAGAAGAAGGUUAAGAAAGAGAAGCCAAAGAGAGAGACACUGCCUAUGAAGAUGGAGAGGAAGAGGAAAAGGCUUAGGAAACUCAGGCUGAGCUUUGUGAAGAAGCCCAAGAAAUUAAUGAGAAGGGCUUAUUGAUGAUGUUGGGUUGGGAUCCAAUGCUAUGCUUCUGAACUAAGAGUUCAGGUGAUUUUUCUUAAAACGGAAUUGCAGGAAGUUUGUUUAUUUCAUCGCAAGAAAAUGUUGAACCAAGGUUUCCUGGGUUUACAGUUAGUGUGUUUGCAUUCCUACCGCAAAUGUAGGAGAAUGACCUCACGCAUCGGUAAAGAAUUUAAUGAAGCAAUGUCUAUUGCAUUGAGUUUUGUUUCUCUGUUUUAGUUUUGUGCUUCAACUGAGGUAGAGAUUACAAUGAAAUAAAACAACAUAUGAUUCUUAAGUUGGCUAGUUUCUGUAGGAUGAGAGCUUAGUUAUACAUGUUUGAAAUAGUUUUGGUCUCAACUUCUUCAAUUAUGAGAUGUCAAGAGAUUGAGAAAUGGAAACAUGAAAUUUUGGUCAUGGCCAUGAAGCUUUGUUUAUUGACUGACUCUUGUUUUAUUAUCUGUUUUUAUGGGAUGGCGGUACCGAGUGUCGUAGAUCUAUAUUCUCAUUUGGAUGGAGUUUUUUGUUUAAGAUGGGGCUUAUGAAUCUGGAUAACAAUGUGUUGUUGAAGUUUUGUGUAUUUGCAAAUUGAAAUAAGUAAAGCGUUAUCAUUUUUGUUUCAAAUUAUUAACUCAAGAUGAUAACUGUAUAUGAUACAAGCAUUAUCAUUUUAGUUUCAAAUUAUUAACUCAAGAUUGUAACUGUAUAUGAUACUCUUUUUCUGAAAUUCUAUUCUACUUCAAUGCUUUAUAUAAUAUGAUUGUCCAAUAUGUAGCAUUCUAUUCCUGGGAAUUAGUGACUUUCUAAUGUCUUUUUUGUGUCAUAGCAAUUUUAAAUAAAUCCCUAAUUCAUACAUUUGAAGAUAAUUAGUGUAGUAACUUAAAUGUUGGGGUUUUCCAUGUGGCCAAGAUCAUAAUACUAUACUUGUUUUGUGUCUCGUUAACAUUUUAACAUAUGAUAGUGUGCCUAGAUGAAAGUCCCAAUUUUUUAGUUUAUUAGUUAUUCUCGGUUUAAUGGAAAUAGUAAAGUUUUGGGUUUUGUUUGAUAAUAGAGCAAGAGGAGAUUGUCAGAUCGUUUGAGAAGAAACGUGAACAAUAAAACACUCUAUGGUGGGCAAUCAAAUGACCACCCUUGAGCUUUUACAGGGUGUUUUUGCAGUUCUCAUGCUGUCGUUCGCUGUGUUUUACAUCUUCUCUCUCUUUCAACAGGCUUUGUAUACAUGGGAACUGGUAAGAAAUAUAAUUUAUUCGCAUCUUUUAUUCUUUCUUUUUGUUUUUCUCUAUGUUUGUGUCCUUGUUCAUUUGGGAAGUUUUGAUAGAUAAGUUUGACUGAAUAAAAUUAUGUUUAGAUAUUCUUGAGCUUGUCCUUGCUUAUAUUGAAUUUCUACCCAGCAAUCUUUGGAUCAUAUCUCCUACAAGAUGAUGGUCGUGACAUUAUUGCUUAUGAUUUUGGAGUUCCUGUAAGUAUUCUAAUGAACUAGGUGUUCUCUGUGUUUAGAGAUAUUAUUAUUUUUAGCUGAUUAACUAGCCCUGACUAGUCAAAUUGAUUUUAGUGGGACAUGAGUGAUUGUAUUAUUCUUAGGGAUAGAAAGGUGUGAAUUGCUUACACUUGCUUCUUUAAAAUGCAAUAAUUUGCCCACAUACAGUUAUGGACAUGGAUAUGGAGAAUGUGGUUAGAUCUUUGUGCAUUUCUCCCAAUGCAGGAUGCUGUCUACCUGCCACUUUGCUAAAUGUAUAGUACUACCUAAUACAUAAACAUAUGUAUCCCACACUUUCUUUCUUUUUUUUUGAUUGGUCUAUGCAUGCUGCACGGUGAUACACAUAUACACUACAUCAUAAUGCAUAAUAUUAUGUUGUAUUCUUGUGGUAUUUUCUAUAGUUACAUCAUUUAUAAUUGGAUGAAGUUUCUAUAAGGCCUAGGCUUUAUGAAAGCAAAAUAAAGCCUCACCUCAAGUCCUCAUCUGGAAACUGAAAUCUCCAUAAUGGCUCUAAAUCAAUUUCCAACACCGGUAAUGAAAUUUGAAACUCAACAAAUAGUAGAGAUCUUUUGGAUCUAUGAACACUUUUAUGGUGAAAUUAAUGGUCUAGAUAAUUUAUUACAAUAGACACUAUUUUUAGAGCGUAAAAUCCUAGUUUUUUUCACAAGCAUAAUUUUAAAGCCAAGAUGAUCAUUGUAAAUGUUUUCUAAUACUUGAAUGACAAUUUUUUGAUGAGUUAUGAGGUGAGGCUUUAUUAUUUUAAUAGGGCUGCAGCCUAUCAAACCAUUUUCCUUUAUAUUUACCUGUAUCCUUUGAGUAGCCAGUACCUGUAUCCUUUGAGUAGCCAGUGUCAGUAUCGGUUCUGACAUGAUAGGAUGCCAGUAUGUUAAGGUUAUACAAGUAUCCUUGCAUCAUAUGAAGGGUGUACUCCAUACACCUGAAUCUCAAGAGCCAUCCUCUAUAUAAAUUAUAUUUUGACUGCUAAUUUGGAAUAUUUUAUAGGAAUGGGGUUGAGGUCAAGGUGGUAGUACCCCUUUGACUCAGCUACCGGUCUCGGUUUCUAUUCCUAUCAACGCUACCCCCUUUCGGAAACUACUAACGGUUUACAAAAUUGCUGAUCCACUACUAACAGUUAAUGUUCAAAAAAAAAAAAAUGGAAAAUUUUAAAUUUAUUGCAGUCCAAUUUACGGAAAUAUUUAGAUGAAUGACAACUGUUGUACCUUGAUUUCAUGUAUAAUCAAAGAUAAUGGUUUAGCCGUGAAACUUACACUCCUUAUCAUGCUCUGACGACAUUGUACAAAGUGGAGAGAAUUGUGGCCACAAGUUAAGCAUGGAUUGUAGAAUUUUCUAUGAUUAGGAUCUUGGGCAUAUGAAGAAUGCAUUUGGAACACAUGCAAAAAGCAAUGGACUUUUUAUUCAUUAACAUUUUGUCACUUGGUGAAUCACAACCGAGAAAGUCCUUGCUGGUUUGUGUUUUGAAACUUUUUGUGGCCACUAUCGGAGAACAGCCUACCAGCCCAUGAAAAUGAAGCAUCUCUUAUUCUCUCAUAUAUUAAUAUGGGAAGUAUGGAGCCUUGCGAAUCCUCAAUUUUGACUCAUUUGUUUAAAUUUAAAUGGAAGUAGAUGUCAUUUUGGCGCUGGCCUUCUGUUCAAGAUGCUACUCUAUGUAUUAGACUCCAAUAAUGUUGUUCCUGGAGGUGGUACUUCUAAUAGGUGAAAUUCUUGGCCUAGACUUGGGUGGUGUUCCACAAUAGUAGAUUUAUCUUUAGCCCCUAUUUCCUCCCAUGGUCCCAUGUUGCUAUGAAGUUGAUGUAUUGAUUUGUAACUGAUGAAUGUAAAGGCUGAUUGUUGUUUCUGGGCUUUUGUAUGAGGUACUCAUGACAACUCUGAAUAUAUUGUCUUACUUUUGGUUUUAUUUUUCAAGUGGAACUUUUAUUUAAGGAAAAUCACAUGGCUGAUAGUCUGGUUGAUUCGAGUGUACCUAAAGUGGUAUUCAAGGUUUGUUUUAUUUUGCUGUGACCUGUGUAUUGAUGAAAAGGUUAUUCAGCAUUGAAAAACCUAAGUAUCUCCCAUAUUGCUAUGAUGUAUUGCAUUUGGGUUUUGAAUCAAUGUCCAUGUGUAAUGGUUAUCUAGAGUUUAAGUUUAGUUCCCUACAUGACUGGCCAUUGGUUGUUUAUGCUUUUUUCUAGGACUUCUCUCUAACUGGAGCUGGAAGCAUACAUUUGAGAGGGUCCCGAGCCAGGGUCAGCAGGUUCAGUUCGGCCGAGUCUUUAAAAAUCUAACAGAGGAGGCCCAGAAAAAAGGUAAGACUUGGGCCGGUGCUGCAUACUGGCUCGGGAUCCAUGAUGGUCUCGAGCCGAGCCAAGUUGGGCAAGUUCUGAGUCAGCUCGGUGAGGUUUUGCGCACUGGCUGACCUCAUUAGCUGGUGCAGUGUAUUCCAUUAUGGAAAAUUGUGCAUGCAUCUAUUGAGCAAGUGUAGUAAUAAUCUUAAUUGUUCUGAUGAGCAGCGGUAUCAUGCUUAUUUCAUGGAUGAGGAUGGAUCAUGGAUAAUCAUUCUGGCUUGUAUGUUUUUGUAGUUCCAAGAUCUUCGUAAGUCUUAGUUAAUUAGUUUAUAUUGUAAAAACAAGGUGCAUAUGUAGUUUUGUAUACUUUCAUGUGACAAUGUUUGGCAGGGAUCUUUAGUAACAUAAUGAUGCUAGAGAACUUUGUCUUUUCU